GAUGAACGCUGGCGGCGUGCCUAAUACAUGCAAGUCGAGCGAACAGGCGAGGAGCUUGCUCCUCUGACGUUAGCGGCGGACGGGUGAGUAACACGUGGAUAACCUACCUAUAAGACUGGGAUAACUUCGGGAAACCGGAGCUAAUACCGGAUAAUAUAUUGAACCGCAUGGUUCAAUAGUGAAAGACGGUUUUGCUGUCACUUAUAGAUGGAUCCGCGCCGCAUUAGCUAGUUGGUAAGGUAACGGCUUACCAAGGCAACGAUGCGUAGCCGACCUGAGAGGGUGAUCGGCAACACUGGAACUGAGACACGGUCCAGACUCCGACGGGAGGCAGCAGUAGGGAAUCUUCCGCAAUGGGCGAAAGCCUGACGGAGCAACGCCGCGUGAGUGAUGAAGGUCUUCGGAUCGUAAAACUCUGUUAUUAGGGAAGAACAAAUGUGUAAGUAACUAUGCACGUCUUGACGGUACCUAAUCAGAAAGCCACGGCUAACUACGUG
rnacentral:rRNA from 1 species